AUGACAGGAACGACGUCAAGAGGGAAUAAAGUAUCUAUUCUAGCAUUCGAGGUAGCUAAUACCAUCACCAAAGGUGCAAAUUUAUUGCAAUCUCUUUCCCAAGAAAAUGUUCAGUAUUUAAAGAAGGAAAUUCUACCUUCAAAAGGAGUGCAACAGUUGGUUUCUACUAAUAUGACGGAGGGGUUUAUGACAGGAACGGCAUCAAGAGGGAAUAAAGUAUCUAUUCUAGCAUUCGAGGUAGCUAAUACAAUCACAAAAGGUGCAAAUUUAUUGCAAUCUCUUUCCAAAGAAAAUGUUCAGUAUUUAAAGAAGGAAAUUCUACCUUCAAAAGGAGUGCAACAGUUGGUUUCUACUAAUAUGACGGAGCUGCUUACUAUUGCAGCUGCCGACAAAAGGUUAGCAUUUUGAACAACCACUCCCUACCCCAACACAUACUGAAAGUAAAGUGAAAUGAAACUGGACAAAGUGAGGCAUUUGUGGUAUUGUCAUGCAUCAGUGAGUAUAAGUUUAUAUGUUUUC
rnacentral:lncRNA from 1 species